rnacentral:lncRNA from 1 species
UGGAAGUUCCCAGCCAGGGGUCGAAUUGGAGCUGCAGCUUCCAGCCUACACCACAGUCACAGCAACACCAGACAUGAGCUGUAUAUGUGACCAAUGCCACAGCUUGCAGCAAUGUCUGAUUCUUAACCCACUGCUUGAGGCCAGGGAUUGAACCUGCAUCCUCAUGGAUACUAGAUUGGGUUCUUAACCCACUGACCCACAAUAGGAACUCCAAUAAUAAAACAUUCUAGGUUGAGUGGAUAUGGCUACCUUACCUUUAUCAUCACCACCACUGCCAUCACCAGUGGUCCUCAACAGAACAGGUGUGUAGGUGAGGUUGCUUUUGAUGACCUCCCACUUCCCCUUGACCCCCCUUCCUUUUGUCAUCUCUCUUCCUCCUCCUAAGUCCUAGCUGUUCUAAUGCUGUCCUUUGAGUGCUCAGUCCCCACAGUGGGUGGAUCAAUCACACAACAUAUUUUUUAUGUUGUGGCCAAGUUACUUCUCGUCUCUAAAUUUCAGUUUCCUCAUCUUUAAGAUAGGAACAUUCUAUUGCUGUGAUGAUUGAAUAAGUUAAUAUGUGGAAAAAUCUUAGAACCGUGUGUGGCACACUGUAACCAGUGUUAACUCCUCAUACGUGCACUCAAAAUUAUCUCUUUCCUUUGCCCCAUCCUCCAAGCUCAAGUCUUUUCUAAACAUCAUUUUCUUCUUUUUCUUUUUUUAGGGCUGCUCCUGGGGCAUAUGGAGGUUCCCAGGGUAGGGGUCUAUCAGACCUGUAGCUGCUGGCCACAGCAACACCACAGCAACACCAGAUCCGAGCCACCUCUUUGACCUACACCACAGCUCACGGCAAUGCCAGAUCGUUAACCCACUGAAGGAGGCCAGGGAUUGAACCUGUAUCCUCAUGGAUGCUGGUCAGAUUCGUUUCUGCUGAGCCACAAUGGGAACUCCUCCAAACAUCAUUUUCAAAGGACAUCUCUAAGAGGAAGAGAUUUGACAAAUGACUUCACACCACUAUGCUGGUAUGAGUCACCCCUCUCAGCAGACACUGUGAUUUAAAGAGGAUGCUUGGAAAGGAUAAGACCACGGGCCCAGGAAUGAAUGUCUAAGAUUGGAUUCCUGAUUGCUGUGCAAGGCAGGUGGGAGAGACAUUGUGGUGAAGUAAGAAUUUCUAUCAAGGCUGCCUGACCAACAUCACACCUGGCUUGCUUAGUGUGAUGGAUCAAACGACACACACAAAUCACAACAGGUUUGAUGCCAUUCAACUUUCAAGACCUUGUUCAUUGUUUAAACUUUCUUGAACCAAUCCAUCCACCCUCACAUUUCCAGAACAGUUCCCAUGAUCUUCCCUUCCUCCAUGUGCUGCUUUUAACCUUGUGAUAUAGUCAUUUACAUACAUGAAGAUGUGGUAUGUAUAUACAAUGGAAUACUACUCAGUCAUGAAGAAGAAUGAAAUAAUGGGAUUUGGAGUAACAUGGAUGGACCCAGAGAUUAUCAUACUAAGUGAAGUAAGGCAAAGAUAAUUAUCAUAUGAUAUUGCUUACAUGUGGAGUCUUAAAAAAUGAUACAAAUGAACUUAUUUACAAAAUGAAAUAGACUCACAGACAUAAAGAACAGACUUGUGGUUGCUACCGGGCAGGUGGUAGGAGAGGAUUGGAGUGGGAGUUUGGGAUGAGCAGAUGCAAACUAUUACACAUAGAAUGGAUAAACACAAGGUCCUACCGUAUAAACCAUAAUGGAAAGAAUAUUAAAAAGAAUAUAUAUAUAUAUGAGUCACUUUGCUGUACAUCAGAAACUAAUACAACAUUGUAAAUCAACUAUACCUUAAUAAAAUAAAUCUUAAAAAUCAUUUAAAAUCAUUUUUAAUCAGUUUUCUUUUUUUGGUUUCACCUAACAUUGUCUAGCACAAUGUCCUAAUUAAUAUUUAUCAUCCCCUAAUAAUCUGGUAAUUGCAAAGAGAAAACUAUUUCCCUUUCUGUCUGCCUUUUUCUUAUUCAAAAGCCACAGGUUUGUCAUAAGGUGGAUACAUCACUAUUACAACCAAUUCAAUGCAGAUUUUCUACUACCAACAGUAUUAUCUUCCCCAAACUGCUGGUGAAAAUGAAAACUAUUCUGCUUUUUAGAGGCAGGAGAGGAGAGUGGCUAAGACUAUGGGCUCUGCUAGUCAAGGUACGAAUUCUGGCUCUGCCACUUAUUAGCUGUGUGACUUUGGGGAAACUGCAUCCCUCUCCAGAAUAUCCGGACUAUUUUCUGUAUCUCCUCUGUAAGGCAAGAACUUGCCCUGGCCUCUUUGUGUGCCGGUGGUAUCUAUACUUUCUCCUCCUUUUCCUGCACUCUAAUCAAAGUAUCCCUCUCUCAAAUCCCACAGGUUUAAGCGCAGUGUCUUAACAUGUCAGGACCUCAAUAAAUAUUAUUUGGAAAUAAUUGAACAUAAUCUAGACAGGGUCAAAUCAAAAUAACCCCUGAAGCUGAACAAAGCACAUACAGCCUCUUAUUUAGGAGGAAUUUCAUCUAGGAAUUUCUACCCACACAGCGAUACCAUGUGCUAUGUGAGUCAACUCAACCAGACAGGUCAGCAUCAAUAGCAAAGGUGGCCCCUCCAGGGAUGGACGCUGCAGCACAGGCUGAGGGGUGUUCUGUGCUCAGAGAAGGCAGAGGGGGAGCAAGAUGACUCCUCCUCCAGUCCCAGGCUGGGGAAUCCCACUGUUUUUACUUUGGCAUUUAUACCCCAUGAAUGCUCUGCCUAAGCUGUGGGUGUAGCCUAUUUGCUUGCCCAGAUCACAUGGGUGGCAGAGCUCCACUGUGGUGGCUGCUGUGUCUCAGGUCCAUCCUCUGACUGGGUACAGCUCCCCUAGUCUAGUAGCAUCUGCAAUGAGGCGGGCUGGCCACCAUAGGAUAGGCUCUUGGCUUGCCUCCUGGUACCUUGGGAUCUGUCCAGGGUGGCUUUAUCUGGCCUGGGGAUCUUCCAGAGUGGCUUGGAGCUGCAGGGCCUGGGCCACCAUUUACUUCCAUUUAUGAAGGCCUCUGCAGGGGACAUUUCCCCCGUGGAAGCCAUAAGACUUGUAAAUUUGGAAUAUUUGGGCAAGAAAGGGAGAUGUCUCUGAAAUAGAGAAAAAUCAAAUUGAUGACUGUUUUUUUAAAGGAUAUUUAUUGCUUUCAAAAGAAUUGUGAGGGAAGGGUUACACAACCUAUCUGAGUCUCAUUAAUGACCUGGGGUGAAAACACCUCACGGGGUUGAUGUAGGGAUGACAUGAGCCAACAUACAGACCAGGUCUAGCUUAAAGCAGAAAUUCAGGUGCUUGCAGUAUCCCCUUCCUAUUUCACUACUAAUGAUUAUGGAGAUGACACCCACUGUUCUCAGUGGGUGGGGUCCUCCAGGACCCCUCCCAGCUCAGUGUGGCCCUAAGCACAUAGCCUUCCUUUACUAUGCCAGCCUGUGAUGAGUUUCUCUUCCUUUGGAGACCAUCUUUUAUUUGUUUUUUUUUUGUUUGUUUGUUUGCUUUUGUUUUUUGUUUUUUGUUUUUGUCUUUUGACCUUUUCUAGGGCUGCACCUGCAGCAUAUGGAGGUUUCCAGGCUAGGGGUCUAAUCGCAGCUACAGCUGCCGGCCUGUGCCACAGCCACAGCAACGCCUGUGCCUACAUCACAGCUCAUGGCAACACAGGAUCCUUAACCCACUGAGCAAGGUGGGGGAUCGAACCCGCAACCUCAUGGUUCCUGGUCGGAUUUGUUAAGCGAUGAGCCAUGACAGGAACUCCUAUUAUUUGUUACAAUGCCAUGUAAUAGUGUAUUGUUUCUGAGAUCUCGCUGAUAUACAUUCAUAUGCCUAAUAUGAAGGCUUGGCUAGCCCUUGAGAUUGGACCAGUUACAGCUUUGAUCCUCUCCACAAUUUAAACCUGCCAAAUAGAAUGAGAUGUUCUGGUUAUUGUAAGAACAUGAGGGAAUGGGCCAUAGCUGGGGAGGGGGCCUUCCAGGCCACUGGCCUCAAAAGGGAUUGUAGCUAAUGAGAAUAAGAAAGGAAGGAAACCAUAUUGUGUGCAAGGUAUUUUUCAUGUACAUCAUGAUAAUACUGGUGCAAGCAGCUUUUGGCAGGAAAGAACUCUCUGUAGGAAGUAGCCGUCUGCAGGAGGCCCCUUGGUGGUCUUGUCACUAACCUUAAGUCAGGCACCCCCAUGCUCUACUCACCUCUGGGCCAAGCCCACCUUUUGACUCUUUUGAUUACUCAAUACCUUGCCUAAACUGUUGGUUCUUUCCUGAGCCUAGAGAACUAAAAUGGAGAGUAAGUAAUUAACAGAUGAUCAGAUCUCCUCCCUAGAUUCCACUUCACUAAUGUCUUGAGCAAACUGAACAAGACAGCAUCUAAAGAAAAAAAUCAGAAGGCGACGACAAGUCUGCCUGAAGUGGAAGAGGGUUGUGAGUUUGAUCCCUCAUCCCAAUGAUCCACUGAGAUUUUGUCCCCUUUUCUCUUUAGAAACUGUCACAGCUGAGCAGAUCUUCAGAGCUGGAUUUGGGACACCAGUCUGCCUUCUCCCCAGAUUGCCAGCUUUCUGAUUAAAGGCAACAUUUUCCAUUUCUACUACCACUGGCCUCUUGAGUAUUGAUUUUUGAGCUGGGGGCAGCCAGACCAGAGUUCAAUAACACUGUAAAAAUGUCCUGAGCACUUACUGCAAGCCAGGCUACUAGACUGGGCCCCAUAUGUAAAAAUUGCUAUUCACCGAGCACCUACUGUGUGCCAGGUAGCAUCCUAAGUGCUUUUCAUAUAUUAUCUUAUUUAAAUCACAUAAUAACACCAAGAAAUAGUUAUUCUUAUGGUGUUUGGAGGAGACAGUUUGGGAGGUGGGGGAAUGUGCUUGGGUUGUGGGAUGGAAAUCCUGUAAAAUUGGACUCUGAUGAUCAUUAUACAACUAUAGAUGGAUUAAUUCAUGUGAGUAAUAAAUAACAAAAAAAGAAAUAGUUAUUGCUUCUGUCAUUUAAACCAAUGAUGAAAUAAGGGUGGAGGGAAGUUAACUGACUCCUGUGUUUCUAUUGAGACUGGGUUACAACACACUGCAAUUAUUAGUUCACCACCGGCAAUUGUGAGUCCUUAACAGCCGGGACGUUGGGUUGUUUAGCUGUGCAUCCAGCACACAGCAUCAGGCCUGGUCCACUGAGUGCCCAUUGUCUGGGUGAAACUGCACUAAACUGAGCAGGUCUCCCCAUCUCCCUCCCUCCCAUGCAUAGCCCAAUGGACCCUGGAAGGCAGUGAGAGCAUCCUUCUCCCUAAGUGCCCAUUCCUAUGAUCUUUUCUUGGUCCCCACACUCUUUCCCCUAAACAUCUCUUCCUUCAUUUCCUCCCCUUUCCAAAGGCUGCAUGUCUGUGGCUAUUUCAAGAUUUGGAGCAUAGGCCUCUAAGGAAACUGGACCCUGGGGUUUAAGCAACAAAUAAUGGCAUUUUAUGUAUAGUUUAUUUGAAAAUUUAAAAAGAAAAGCUUUUAUUUUUGUUGUUUUUGGAGACUGACCUGAGAAAACAUUUGUAAGGUUGAUGUCUAGUCACUUAUGAUGGAGCCUGAUAAUGUGAGAAAAAAGAAUGUAUACAUGUAUGUGUAACUGGGUCACCAUGCUGUACAGUAGAAAAAAAAUGAAAGGUAAAAAAAAAAAAAGAAAAACUUUUAUUAACAUUGAUGUACUACUGUACAGCACAGGGAACUAUAUCCCAUCUCUUGUGAUAGAACAUAAUAGAAGAUAGUAUGAGAAAAAGAAUGUGUGUAAAUAUAUGGCUGGGUCAUGAUGCUGUACAGAAGAAAUUGACACAACAUGGUAAAUCAAUUAUACGCUCAUGAAAAUAAAAUAAAUAAAAAACAAAAACAAAAACAUUGACGUACAUAUGAAUGAAUAAGUGAAAUACUGAGGUAAGGGCAAUAUGCUCAAACAUUCCAAUCAGGGCUUACUCAUCUGCUGCUUCACCCCUGAAACUUUAUAAACAAGACUGCAGAGCCCCGUGUUCAGUCUUUGUCUAGUUAUCUGAAAUGCAUCUUCUGAAAUACAGUCUUGUAGGCAAAGACUUGCAGACUUAGCCUCUUUGUUCAGAUAGGCUGCCAUCCAUUGCUGUAUGGUUUUGGUUUUCGCUCUCCAAGCACCUGCCUAUUAAUUUUCCUGCUUGUUGAUCCUGGCCCUCUUGGCCCCCACAUGCAGGUGAAUUUAAGUUUGCUAUCUCAGAGGUUUUCUCUUGUUUCACUGGCAGGGAUUCUCAGUCCAUUAAGUGAGUGAGAUCUGGGAACUG